rnacentral:lncRNA from 1 species
UCUGGGAAGAUGAAAUGUUACCAACAUUUCAAACAAUCAAAAUCCUUGUGCAUCUUGAGAGUUUGCCCUUUCAAAGCCGUGCGGGGCGGGUGUUUUGUCUUGGAGCCUUGGAGACCGGGUUUUUCUUUUUUUCAGUCUUCCUAUCGACCUGACAUGGGAAAGCUGGGCAGAGGAUGGUCCCUUUGCUGGUAUCAAAGCCCUGGGAUGGCUUUCCCAUCGGCUGUUUGUGCUGGUUCGAGGCCCCUCUGGGGAGGUUCAGGGGGUCCCAUUGGCAAAGAGAGACGAAGGCUGGGCUUUUUGAUGUUGAGGUCCUAUCUUUUCUCCAAGGACAUAGCUACCCCUGAUGAAGUGCUACCUGUUUGCAGGUGCUAUGCCAAGAAUUGUAUGUGUGUGUGUGUGUGUGGGGGGGGUAAUUGGGAAUUGAGCACAGGUGCACUUAACCACUGAGCCACAUCCCCAGCCCUUUUUAUUUUUCUUGAGAUAGUGUCUCACUAAGUUGCUUAAGUCUUGCUAAGGUGCUGAGGCUGGCCUUGAACUUGCAAUCCUCCUGCCUCAGCCUCCUGAGCUGCCACACCCAGCUGCCAAGUGCUUUUAUCUGCACAGCAAACUAGCAAUGUCUUCUAUGACUGCGUCACUAUCCCUGACUUUCAAAAGAGGACAAUGAGAGUUGAGGAAGCUUAGCAGCUUGCUCAAGUUUGCUCCAAGUGGAGGAACUGGUAUUCAAAUCCCAAUUUUUUUUUUUUGAAUUUUAAUUUUUUCCUCUGAACCCUCUGUUUUCUUUGGUAAUCAUGAAUUCUCUGAGUGUCUGGCUACACCAGGGGACUUGUAGCUUGUUCAGCCUUCCUACCUCCUUAUAGGAACUCCUAAACCAAGGGGGCUGUCCUUUCUCUUCUCUACUCCCCCUGCCUGUCUCCCGUCUCCACUUCUCGAGUGUGUAUAUCUGGCUUAAUUUCUCUUUUCCACUCCACCCGAGUCUUAGGUCACUUGCCCUGGUUCACUGGCCACCCAGUCCAGGGUCCCAACCAGACGUUCACUCCCCAGUCCAAGCCUCUUCUUGGUCCUGCCUUACAUGGGAACACAAAGGUCAAGGCUUAAAGUAAAAUGACAGAUGGAAAGAAAAGCCUCCCCCCGUGUGUGGAGCUCCGUGAAAUCCUUCAUUAUGGGAUUUCCCUUGUCGGGGCUGCAGGAGAAGCCUCAAGGCUCACGGCAAAAAUCGACAACACAUCAGGGCACUGUGCACGCAGACCUUUCUCGUCACAGUCACAGGACGUCUGAUGAGUGGUCCCAGGAGUGGGGGCAACAGGGAGAUGGGGCAGGAUGAGGAAAGAGAGGGAAGAAAAGAGGGAAAUGAUCGGCAUCAUGACUUCAUUUCCUGCCCCUUGGCACCAUGCCUGCUCUGCCCCACAGAGACCCCAAAAAGAGGCCUUUUAAAAAUGCAGCAGGAAGGACUUAGGCAAGACCCCAGGAAGUUCAUUGAAACCAUCCAAGUGUAUAGAUCCAGGAAGAGAUCAGUAAGGCAUCUCCUUCUCUGAAGAUCUUGCAGAUGAGGAUUCAGACUGACUCAUCAUCUGGGGGAAUUCAGGGUUGGGGCUGAGCUGAGGUAGAGGCUUGGACUCCGUGACUGACUCUCUGAAUUCAGGGGUAAAUAGUCCUGGGCUGUCCUCAGAGCCUUCUCAUCUCACGAUCACAUCAGAAAGUCCACACGAGGGACCACCAAGUGGUGUACAGAGCAAGAUUUGGAAACUCUCUCUCCAGCCCCACUUGUCUGUGACCUGGCCUCUCCUCCGCCGCCCGCCUUCUUCCUGAUCCUUGGUCAUUUCCUUUACC